rnacentral:ncRNA from 2 species
AUGAAGGUAUUGGGAGAGAUUACCGACUAACGGGUAACGCCGAAGGAGUAAACCGAAACAACGGUGAAUCUCUCAGGCAAAAGGACUUUUACUGGACG